rnacentral:rRNA from 1 species
GCUAUCACUCCUACGGGGAGGCAGCGUGGGGAAUAUUGCACAAUGGGCGCAAGCCUGAUGCAGCCAUGCCGCGUGUAUGAAGAAGGCCCUUGGGUUGUAAAGUACUUUCAGCAGUGAGGAAGGCGGGUACGUUAAUAGCGUGCUCGUUUGACGUUAGCUGCAGAAGAAGCACCGGCUAACUCCGUGCCAGCAGCCGCGGUAAUACGGAGGGUGCGAGCGUUAAUCGGAAAUUACUGGGCGUAAAGCGCAUGCAGGUGGUUUGUUAAGUCAGAUGUGAAAGCCCGGGGCUCAACCUCGGAAUAGCAUUUGAAACUGGCAGACUAGAGUACUGUAGAGGGGGGUAGAAUUUCAGGUGUAGCGGUGAAAUGCGUAGAGAUCUGAAGGAAUACCGGUGGCGAAGGCGGCCCCCUGGACAGAUACUGACACUCAGAUGCGAAAGCGUGGGGAGCAAACAGGAUUAGAUACCCUGGUAG